rnacentral:rRNA from 1 species
AUUGAACGCUGGCGGCAGGCCUAACACAUGCAAGUCGAACGAGUGGCGGACGGGUGAGUAAUGUCUGGGAAACUGCCCGAUGGAGGGGGAUCACUACUGGAAACGGUAGCUAAUACCGCAUACCAUCGGAUGUGCCCAGAUGGGAUUAGCUAGUAGGUGGGGUAACGGCUCACCUAGGCGACGAUCCCUAGCUGGUCUGAGCGGAUGACCAGCCACACGGGAACGGAGACACGGUCCAGACUCCUACGGGAGGCAGCAGUGGGGAAUAUGGAACAAUGGGCGCAAGCCUGAUGCAGCCAGGACGCGUGUAUGAAGAAGGACUUCGGGUUGUAAAGUACGGGCAGCGGGGAGGCGUUACCCGCAGAAGAAGCACCGGCUAACUCCGUGCCAGCAGCCGAGGUAAUAC